rnacentral:pre_miRNA from 1 species
UGGUGCUUGUCCCAGUGGUCCGCGAUCGUUUCAAUACAGCACGAAUCCUGGGAGCAAGUGCCAG